GACCUAAUCAGGAGGCAACAGGCCAUCCUGAUGGGGGAGGGAGGAAGGUUUUCAACUCUCCCAAGGACAAGCUUUCUGGUGUCUAGGAAAGCAUUUCCAGAUUCACUGGCCGUAAAAUAGAGGAAAACAUCUACUGAAUCUGCAGAGACAGACAGGUCACAAGAGGACAGUAGGAACCCAAACCCUCUCUGCAGGAUCUGCUACAUCAGGCGGGGGAAAAGGUGUACAGAGGGGGACACAUGGAAAAACACCUGCAAGGAAGAGCGACCAGAGAGGAUGCUGAGGUGCUGGACUGGCCGGAUGAGGACCCCAAAACUGGAACAGCUGCUCAGCUGAAAGGAGAACUGGGAAUGGAGGACCAGGAACUGCUCUCAGCCUGUGCAAGGAUCCAGUGCGGCCAGCAGCUCCCUAUGGAAACGAAGCAGCGAGGGAACAGGAGCACACUCAGGAGCCAGCCAGCCCCUUGUCUCCUCCACUUGUGUGCCUUCUUGAACAACACCCAGGCAGCCUCCAGUGGCCCUUUUCUUAUCGUCUCACAGGCUAUUGAGAAGUCCAGCCUGGAAAGUACCUUCCAGUGUGUGUCAGGGCUAUUCUGUCCAUGUCUUGUGUAGCAGGACAAACGGAUGAUGGGCUAUAAUAUUUCCUUUACUAAAGGGAAUCCUCACAGAGAUGCUGCAGCAGCUCCUGUACAAGUUAUAUACACCCCAACUGGCAUACUUGGCAUUUCCCCAGCCUUCCCCUCCAAUCCUCAGCCCCCUCGCAUAAUAUUGUGAAUGUUUUUCUGCAGGUUAAGGGAAGCUUCCUGAAACAGCCAGCUUUCUGCUGGGCUUUUUAAUCAGCAAUAAUAGUUGAGAGGAAAAAAAAAAUUAAAAAAUCCUGUCUCUCCUUGUUCAAUGUGACAAGUGUGAAAAAAUUGAAGGUGAUUGUAGCUUGUGCGGAAAGCACUGGAGAGCACUGAGUGAUGCAGGAGCUGCAGCCUCCUGCUCAGGGCUGCCGUGGCUAUGGUCUCUGUACAUGGAUGAUUUCUCCCCCAAAUCCACCCCAGCAAUGGAUGUAAGCUAGAUGUAGGGAGUCUGCUACCACACUGAAGGCAAAAUGAUUUAAAUAAUCCUCUCCCAUUUAUGCAAUUUAAAAUUCAAUAAGGUAAAAAUGAUAAUUAGUAUUUGGUGCAAUCUGAGAGCAAAAUGCCCUACUGCAACAGAGAGGCAGAGUUCCUGAACCACAGCCAUUAAUAACAUCAAUACCAAUUAGGCUCUCUAGGGGACGGUCUGAUAUAGGUAUCAUAAGUAAUAGCUGUGGAGAGAAAACAAGACUGGUAAUGCAAUUACUGCUCAGAUACGCAGUAAAUGCUUUGCAAUCUUCUAAAUUCUGUAGGGCUUAAAUACACCCUGAAGAUCAGAAUUAAGUGUUGGGGAGAGAAAAGCUGCAGAGCAGGGGGGGAGUAAAGGCACAGUGUGUCAUUAAACAGCGGUUAGAGUAUUAAAAACAGACGAGCUGCUUUCCCUGCAGCUCUCAGAGCUUAGAAAAUCAUCUAGUGAAUCACAUUGUAGCUGAUCAGGAUGCAGAUCAAAAAGCUGCAUAUCAUGUAGGGGAUGAAAGGGAAUUUGAUUUGUAGGAUCCUUCACAAGGGGAAGAUGGAGAUGAAAUUGCAGUGAGUAUUUGGGUGUGUCAGUAAAUGUGGCAGGCACUCAUGGGUGCGCAGUGCUGUAGACAGCCCCUAACACUGGCACAGUUGCAGGGAGCCUGUGUGUGAAAGCCUUCAGAUGAAGAUCUCAUGUGAGGCUCAGAUUUUCUCCAUAGACUUAGGAGGUUUGAAAGCACAAGCUCUCUGCUCACUCUGUGUACGUAAAAAAAAAAAAAAAAAAAAAAAAAAAAAAAAAGAUGGAAAUAAACAAAUAAACAAACAACA
rnacentral:lncRNA from 1 species